UGUAAUAGAACUAUCAGCUAGCAGUCUUCAUCUGAGUUGAUAGAAUUCUUGUUAACUUCAUCAGUAGCUGAAGCCUGAGUUCAUUUAAAAAAAUUCCACCCCAACUAAAAACUGUUUGCCACAUUAAUUCCUUGUGCAUCUGCAUUGGCUGGGAGUUACAGCUGAAUGAAUGAAGUUGACCUGUGUACAUCCCUGCACUUAGUAAUGUAUCCUUUUUGGACUUUUCCCCAGCUGUGUACAAGAUUCCACUGGACAGUUUGGAAAUAUCAGGAGAACCUGCAACAGAAGAAGCUAUUCUUAGACUAAAGCCUCCAUGAACAUGAAGACCUGGAGAGGCAAAUUUACAGCUUGAGUGGUGGGAUAUGGAGUAAAUGAAACGUGUAAGCAGAAAUACUGCAUGAACCUUUUCCAAAAGGCAUAUUGAAAAGACUGUGGAGAAGAGUAUUGUCAAAGGACAAAAAGUUCUAACACUGCAACAAAUGCUUUGUUUUUCAUCUGCUUAUCCCUCAGGCAGCUACAGAAAUGUGUGUGCAGGCUGUUGCUUUUUUUUCCUUUUUAGUUAAAUUCAGGUUUGGUUGGCAGUUUCUUCCUCAAAAGAGUAGCUCUCCUCAGUAAGAACAACAGGAUGCCCUCAACAUGGCAAAAGCUAUAAAAGGCACUGGAAACACCUCCAUUUUGUCUUCAAUCCUGCUUCUUACCUCUGGAGGAACUUUCCUACAAACUGAAGCUCUGAACAAAGGACUGAAUGACCCAUCCAAGUUGUGGAUGUACUCCAGAGAAUUGACUUAAGUCAGCAGUUUAUUCCAUCACUGCUACAAGCCUGAACCAAGAACUUUGCCAUUACUCUGCUGCCAUUACAGCUCUGAGGGGUUCUCUCUCCACAACUGCGGAACACCAGAGUCAGAAAAGGAGGAGAAAGAAGCAGACUUGGGUUAACAUGUUCAGAGAGAUCCUGUGAGCCAGUGCUGCAUCAGACCACAAACAGAGAGCCUGGAGGAUGAAUACUGUAGACUAUAUGUAGAAGGAAAGUGCAGACAGAAGAAAGGCCUAGGACUCCCAGCUGCAAAAGGUAAGGAAGAUGCACCAAGACAUAAUGGAGCUUCUCCAUAAGCAAACACAGGUGUUGCAGGCUCUUGUGGAUCUACAGAUUCAACAAUCCCAUACUUGCCUCCCUUUGCAGUCCAUAGAGAAGUCCAUUUUAGCAUCUUCCUACACUCCCUGAACAUUCCAUGUGGCACCAGGGGCCACAUCACUACGCCUACCACUUCACCUAGGGGGACAUUAAGGACAAACACAACUUCAUGUACAGUGACUUGUGACAGCCACAGCUGAUAUAUGUGCAGCUAAAAUGGACAUGAAUUCCCCUUCUUUAAACUCUGUUCCAUAAUUUAUUAAGGUUUUAAUGUAUUUGCUUUUAACUUACACAGAAUUUGUUGAAGUGUUACUCAAUACAACUCUAUUGUUUGGAAAAUAAUUAAUUUUUAUUAGUUCCUCUCACAGGGUGGAUUAGGCCCAGAGGCUCCCUGAUGGAGGCCUCAGUGUCCUGCCACACCUCUUCCCAGAGAGGAGCAGAAGAGAAGUCCUCCAAGCAGCCUAGAGUGGCUGCAGGAGAAACAGUCAAUCAGAGGGGCUGCUGGAUCAGUCAGUCAGGAGCCAGGAAGGCCAUAUAAAAAGGAGCAGCAGAGACAGAGUCAGUCAGUUGCUGCCUGGAGCUGAAAGAGAGAGGAUCAUGUUCCUGGAUUGCUAAAAGAACAGCAGGACCAUGGACAGCUCAGUGCGGGUAGGGACCAGGGGAGUAAUGAAAGAGCUGCUGGCCGGCUGCUGUGACUGGGUAAAGACUGAGUCCAGGGAGGGCUGCAGGAAGACAGUGUCUCCAGGGAGGAAGCCCUAGAGGUACAUUCCCAUACCAGGGCUGGGAGAAGAUAAAGACUGUAUGCCUUGGAAGGGGUUUGUUCUUUUCCACCUACAGAUGGUGUGUUUGUCUCAGCUGGAGGGCCGAGUCACUGAAGACCCACUGAAGAAACCAUAGACCAAUGUGGGGUGCUAUUGAGAGGCCUCUGGCCAGAGGCACUUGGUGAACUGCCAUGUGAAGUGCCCACCCAUAAAGAAGUGGAUGGUCCCCCUUCACUGAUAUGUUUGCUUCCUGUGGCUGGAAUAUACGUGAACUGUUGCCACAGGAGUGGCAGAAAAGUCAUGUGCUUUGCAUCUUCAGCAUUCUUCCUCCACCAACUUCUCCACGCCUUUUCCUGAGUUGCGUUCUUGUGAACUUAAUAAAAAGUGCUGCACCUUCUUUACUGGCAAACAUGACUCCUGAGUCCUUCAUAAACCUUACAGGCACGACGGCCAGUUCACAGUCCCCUGAGCCUUCGGCGGUACCCUUUUAAACUAACUUAUGUGUGUGGACAAUUUGUGGAUGUCUGAUGGCAGGGCAACAUGGAUGAUGACUAAAAUGUCAAGAUAAAGUAAAACACAGUGCCAGUCAAUGGGGACAAUAUUGUGAAUAUUAGGGCAGAUACAUGAAUAUGUGACAUCUUGACCAUGUAACAUAAAUAUCAAUGCAGAUAAUACCAGGAGAGGAGGAGAUCGAAUGCCCUUACCUCUAGGAAAAAUCCAAAGGAGGGAAGUCUUCAUAAUUCUAUUGUGUAGGCAGG